rnacentral:rRNA from 1 species
UUUAUUACAACGGAGAGUUUGAUCCUGGCUCAGGAUGAACGCUAGCGGUAGGCCUAACACAUGCAAGUCGAACGGUAACAUAAGAGCUUGCUCUUGAUGACGAGUGGCGGACGGGUGAGUAACACGUAUACAAUCUACCUUUAACUGAGGAAUAGCCCAGAGAAAUUUGGAUUAAUACCUCAUAGUAUUAUAUUAAGGCAUCUUUUUAUAAUUAAAACUUCGGUGGUUAAAGAUGAGUAUGCGUCCUAUUAGUUUGUUGGUAAGGUAAAAGCUUACCAAGACUACGAUAGGUAGGGGGCCUGAAAGGGUGAUCCCCCACACUGGUACUGAGACACGGACCAGACUCCUACGGGAGGCAGCAGUGAGGAAU